ACGGUGAAAGAGAGCUUGCUCUCUGGAUCAGUGGCGAACGGGUGAGUAACACGUGAGCAAUCUGCCCUUGACUCUGGGAUAAGCGUUGGAAACGACGUCUAAUACCGGAUACGAGCUGUGAAGGCAUCUUCAACAGCUGGAAAGAAUUUCGGUCAAGGAUGAGCUCGCGGCCUAUCAGCUAGUUGGUGAGGUAAUGGCUCACCAAGGCGUCGACGGGUAGCCGGCCUGAGAGGGUGACCGGCCACACUGGGACUGAGACACGGCCCAGACUCCUACGGGAGGCAGCAGUGGGGAAUAUUGCACAAUGGGCGCAAGCCUGAUGCAGCAACGCCGCGUGAGGGACGACGGCCUUCGGGUUGUAAACCUCUUUUAGCAGGGAAGAAGCGAAAGUGACGGUACCUGCAGAAAAAGCACCGGCUAACUACGUGCCAGCAGCCGCGGUAAUACGUAGGGUGCAAGCGUUAUCCGGAAUUAUUGGGCGUAAAGAGCUCGUAGGCGGUUUGUCACGUCUGCUGUGAAAACUGGAGGCUCAACCUCCAGCCUGCAGUGGGUACGGGCAGACUAGAGUGCGGUAGGGGAGAUUGGAAUUCCUGGUGUAGCGGUGGAAUGCGCAGAUAUCAGGAGGAACACCGAUGGCGAAGGCAGAUCUCUGGGCCGUAACUGACGCUGAGGAGCGAAAGGGUGGGGAGCAAACAGGCUUAGAUACCCUGGUAGUCCACCCCGUAAACGUUGGGAACUAGUUGUGGGGUCCAUUCCACGGAUUCCGUGACGCAGCUAACGCAUUAAGUUCCCCGCCUGGGGAGUACGGCCGCAAGGCUAAAACUCAAAGGAAUUGACGGGGACCCGCACAAGCGGCGGAGCAUGCGGAUUAAUUCGAUGCAACGCGAAGAACCUUACCAAGGCUUGACAUAUACGAGAACGGGCUAGAAAUAGUCAACUCUUUGGACACUCGUAAACAGGUGGUGCAUGGUUGUCGUCAGCUCGUGUCGUGA
rnacentral:rRNA from 1 species